rnacentral:pre_miRNA from 1 species
UUGGGGGAAAUCAAUGUAUCACCUACACUUUGAAAAUGUAACCCACAUAAAAUGAUGAGACAUACAUUGAUUUCACCCAA